GGGAGCCGAUUAUGAAAACAACUGAUGCAAUCACUAAACCGAGAAGUCAAGAAACACGUUCGCUCGGUGCUGUGUGCUGUGCACGUUGAAGGUACCGAUUCUCCCAGCAGCCCCAAGAGACAGGCAUUAGCAUCCCUGUUCUGCAAGCAGGGAAACUGAGGCCCAGAGACAGAGGAGCUCAGAACAGUGACAGCUGAGGCUGGGCCAAUGCCGAAAGCAAGAGCCAGAGUUGAAGUCAAGUUCUCUGGUCCUUCCUGCAAACAAGCAGGGUAAGAAGAACUGGAUCCCAACCCUGCUUCGCUUCCUAGCUAAUGACCUGAAUAGCCUGCUCGAGAUCGUUGUUGUUCUGCAGCAUCCCGGAGGAGAGCGGCCGCCGAGUCAGCACGUCUUCAGAUGAGAGGUGCGUGGGAGGACCCGCCCCGGGCUGGGAGGGCGAGGUGCUGCGGCGCUCAGCUUCCGUGGCCGUCCGCGACCCCACCAGGUCAAGCCUUGCCAGUGCGCAGUGCCUGGAUGUUCUCCCUGGAACACGGUGAUGUCAGGAAGAUCGCAAGGUAAUUUGACUCACGGGCAGAGCAACAUGGACACGAACAUUCGUAGUGGCGCUGUUCAGAAAAGGCGAGAAGUGGAAGCAAUGCAACUGGAAGCGCCGGGCCGUGGUUCUCCUGUGCACCACCGUAUUCAGUAGUGAGCGGAGCGAGCUGCUGAGGCACACCCCAAACACGCUGCAUGAGAGCAGCCACGUGGAAAACAAAGCCCACGUUCCGCGUGAUUCCAUUGGUGUGAAACACUCAGGAAAACCGGUCUGUGGCGACGGGGAAUGGAGGUGGGGAUGGGCUGGGAGGCGUCUGCCGGGGAGACGGAACCGUCCCAAAAUUGGAUUGUCGUGGCAAUUGCGCAGCUCUGCAAAUUUACUUUAAAAAAAAAAAAAAAUACUGCCUUGUACAUUUAAACUGAGUGAAUUGGGUGAUGUGUACAUUAUAAGGGUGCUCCAAAAAGCUCGUGGAAAAACAGGAUGAGAAGAUUCGUGCAUUUUGGUGUAAACAAUGUUGGAAUUCAUGCUCGUGACCGC